rnacentral:SRP_RNA from 1 species
UCGUGCUAGAUGGGGAGCCAGCGGUGCCCUGAACCUGCAAUCCGCUAUAGCAGGGUUGAAUUCCUGUUUGAGGCUUUCGUCUGGUGGGACUGUCUGGACUAAGCAGUGUUGAGGGCCGGGCCCUGCGCGGCAGAAAGCUAUGAACCCCGUCAGGUCCGAGAGGAAGCAGCGGUAAAUAGUGUUUUCUGGGUGCCGCAGGUAUGCCUGACCGGAGCCGGCUGGCCCGGGCAAGCCAUCGGGCAGGGUCGAUGGCAGGUGCACGG